CUGUGGAGUCUUAAUUUGCAUGGUGCAACGUGCUGAAUAAGAUAUAUGUGAAGACAUACUGCAGAUCUGUUCCGUCCUACACCAAGUGUCCCAAAGGAGUAUGCAAUGCAAAGGGAAGGCUGCACUGAAGAGCAAAAUUCAGGACAUUCUCAGCGGUCGCUCCAGGUUCAUCAUUCGAAAGACGACCACUGAUUCAAAAGGAACACAAGUUUUCAUCACAGGGAAGGCAAACUCCAAAGCUGUGGGAAAGGACAACCAAAACAAGAAUGGAAAUGUUUUUACAGAAAUAAACACAUAUCCUUCUACUGUAGAGAUAAGAGAAAGAAAGACCGUGGCCAACUCUAGAGAUAAUAAACCAGAGAACGUUGGCGAGGGAGAAGAAUCCUUGGAGAAAAACAACUCCCCCAAAAAAGGCAAGGGAAAGAAAGAUGGGAAGAAAGGGAAAGGGAAAGGGAGAGUGAAGAAAAACCACAGAGAAGUGAAUGAGAACAAUAAGAAAGCACUGAUGGACUUUGUAGAGCAUUUGAAGGGGAAGAGAAGACUUAUGGUGAUAGCCACGCCCAGUGCCACGAGCUUCAUUUCUGUGACCUUGCCCUGAGAAAAGUUACUAUGGCAACCAUCCUGAGCUCAGGGCCUGACACUACCCUCACCCUGCACCACUACCAACUUGAUUCUGAGGCGCCAUUCACCUCACGACCAGAGAAGUUCACUGACCCAGAUCUCAUCUCUCAAUUGAUGAAGCACCAUGGGAUGUCCUCUAAGGUUUUCUCUAUUACUAUGACUGACUAUGAUCUGAAACCCAAUGUAAGCAUAAUCUCUAUCUUGCCAGUGAUAUUUUGAUAACACAGAUCACCUUCCUCAGAAAAGUGUAUAAAUGUUUAUUGCACUUAAUGUGCCAAAUUUAAAUGCAGUAUGUGGUAUUUGUAACGGUCGUUGUUGGUGGAAGAAGAGGAGGACCAAAGCGCAGCGUGUUAUGUGUUCAUGAUGUAAAUAUUUAAUGAAUCAAACUGAACACUGAAAUACAAAACAACAAAGUGAAAGACCGAAACGACAACGAACCAGUCCUGUCUGGUGAAGACACACAACAGAAAAUAAUCACCCACAACUCAAGGAAAGUAUUUGAUGUACCUCCACCCUCAUCUGCGUUGAUGGAAUAUGUUGACAUCUUUCCAUCGCGACGAUCUGAAAUGGAGAGAGAGAGAAACUCCACUGACCUGCUCCAAAUCCCAAGAACAGGGCGGGGCAUUGUUGAGAACUUUGAAAGUUUCUUCAAGUGCAGUCGCAAAAACCAUCAAGCUCUAUGAUGAAACUGGCUCUCAUGAGGACCACCACAGGAAUGGAAGACCCAGAGUUCAUUUGAGUUACUAGCCUCAGAAAUGGCAACUCAAAUAAAUGCUUCACAGAGUUCAAUUAACAGACAUGUCUCAACAUCAACUGUUCAGAGGAGACUGUGUGAAUCAGGCCUUCAUGGUCAAAUUGUUGCAAAGAAACCACUUUCUUAAGGACAUCAAUAAGAAGAAGAGACUUGCCUGGGCCAAGAAACAUGAGCAAUGGACAUUAGACAGGUGGAAAUUUGUCCUUUGGUCUGGAGUCCAAAUUGGAGAUGUUUGGUUCCAACCGCCGUGUCUUUGUGAGACGCGUUGUGGGUAAACAGAUUAUCUCUGCAUGUGUUUUUCCCAUUGUAAAGCAUAGAAGAGGUAUUAUGGUGUGGGGGUUCUUUGAUGGUGACACUGUUUGUGAUUUAUUUAGAAUUCAAGGCAAGCUUAACCAGCAUGGCUACCACAGCAUUCUGCAUCAUUCUGCAGAUACACCAUCCCAUCUGGUUUGGGCUUAGUGGAGCUAUCAUUUGUUUUUCAACAGGACAAUGACCCAACACACCUCUAGGCUGUGUAAGGGCUAUUUUACCAAGAAAGAGAGUGAUGGAGUGAUGUAUCAGAUGACCAGGCCGCCACCUCAAUCAAAUUGAGAUGGUUUGGGAUGAGUCGGACCACAGAGUGAAGGAAAAUAUGGUUAAUAUGUAAUGAAAUGAAUUAUAUGUACACAUGAAGACAAUUGAAAGGGUGAAAUGAGAAACGUCAUUGUUUGCAAACUGAUCGACUUUGAUACCAAACUAAUGGGGAUUAUAGAUUGAAUAACCAUUCACUGUUUGUAUUCUUUCAUGAUUUAUGAUAAAUAGUUACGAGCCUAAUUGACUUACGGAUGAUUACUAUUGACUUCUUAAUGAACUGGAUUGUUGACUUCCCUAUUUAUGUUAAUCAUGAAUGAUUGUUAUGAUAUAAUCUUUGGCAUGAGGAAUUUGAACGGAUACAUGUUGUUUGUUUCCUUAGUGAUGCAGCACAAACUACUCAGUAAAUAUACCACUUUAUGGUUAAAGG